GUUGCAGUGAGCCGAAAUUGCGCCACUGCACUCUAGCCUGGGCAAUAAGAGCCAAACUCCAUCUCAAAAAAAAAAAAAACACUAAAAUUUUAGGCCAGGCACAGUGGCUCACGCCUGUAAUCCCAGCACUCUGGAAAGCUGACAUGGGCAGAUCACCUGAGGUCAGGAGUUCAAGACCAUCCUGGCCAACAUGGUGAAACUCCGUCUCUACUAAAAAUACAAAAAUUAGCUGGGCGUGGUGGCAGGCGCCUGUAAUCCCAGCUACUGAAGAGGCUGACGCAGAAGAAUCACUUGAACCUGGGAGGCAGAGGCUGCAGUGAGCCAAGAUUGCACCACUGUACUCCAGCCUGGGCAACAGAGCAACACUGUCUCAAAAAAAUUAAAUUAAAUUAAAUUUUUUUAAAAGGCAUAAUUCAGUGGAAAAAGCAUCAACAGGAAACUAUUCUCUCUCUCUCUGCUUACACAGGGAACCACCACCGUUUAUCUGGAGUGAAUAAAAAGCCAAGUUAAACACAUAAAAGUGACCCCACAUGUCAUUCUCCUGGAUCACAUGCUCCACGGAAGCAAGGGUUGUGCUCUGAUAGGAUCAGGUAAGGAAAUGUUGCACAGGGGAAGAGGGCCUGGACCUUACAGAGAGAAAAUCCUAAGUGAGAGUCGCAACUGGACAUCUCACACAAAUCACUCCACCUUUCUGAGCAUCAGCAAAACAGGCACAAACACGUCCCUUGGGGAUGUGCAUGGAAAGCACCCAGGAGCCGGCUGGGGAAUGGGCUUAUCAAGACGACUGUGGUGACUGGCCCCUCGCAUCCCACUGUGGGCAUUUCAUGAAUUCUUGCAGGAUUGGUGGACUUCCAGUUUGUCUUGUCCCCACUCUCCUGCCUACAGAGAAGCUAGAGCCUGCUUUGCACACAGCCAUAGAUUUGUCUGCUGCCAAAGGAUAACAGGAUUACAGCCACAACCAAGAGCCCUAGGGUCCUAUAGAACAGAGCCCCGAAGGGCAGGCCCAGGGCACCACCAGGACCCCACCUGGUAGUGUGGAAACGGGAAGAUGUUUGGGGCGGGGGGAGCAGGUUCUAAACCCAGAGAAUAAGCACCUGCGAGUACAGUUCACUGAUUCCUGAGCAUUCCAGCCCAGAACCCCAGAUCCAGGACAGGCGAGGGAGCCCAUUUUAGAGAUGGGGAUAGUGAGGCCCAGAGAGCUGUUUCCGAAGGAGCAUGGAAGCGUACCUGCCCAUUUUCCCAGGUGUCCUGACCCAAGAGAAGCCAAAGACAGCCCUGUCCACAGAUGUGCUUGGUGGGUCAACCUGGUCUGUUUUUAAAUACACAGGUUCAAGUGUCCUUAAACAGAUGUGCACUCUGCGAAUCGCUGUGGUCUCAGGCUGCCAGCAUCUGAAUGCACCACCCCAAGCAAACAGGAUGCAUUUUCACAAUUAACUUGGGGUUUUAUCACCCAGUUUGAGACAAAAGGCAGCGGAGCCCAGACAGGGCAGUGAGUUAAACAAGGUUAGCAAGUAAAUGCCCAGCACUACAGGUCCUUCUGGGCACAAAUGGCUCAGUGAACCAGACUGGGCACUCGGAGACGGAGAGGUGGUUCCUCAGGGGAACUGAAAAUCCGGGUGGGGAAAAGAGGACGUGUCUGAGCUGUGGAAUCUGGCAGCAGACCCCCCUCGCUUCAAAUCCUGACUCAAGAAGUUCUGGGCCCGUUUGUCAGCACCCCAUUCGCCACCAGGGACCUCCCAGGACAAGCCCUGCCGUGGGAAAACUGUCGCUUUAAGGGUCUGGUGGGCAGGCCCAGCCAUUUCCAUGGAGCAGACUCUGAGCUGUUUCUGUCUUUCAAAAACCAAGGCCCCAACAGGAAGUGAGUCACCACAGGAAAAUACAGGGUUCCCAGCCUUAGGGGGCUCGAGGCUGACCUCAGAUGCCCCCGUGGGGGUCAGGCCUUUGUAGGUGCAUGGCUCUGUGGGUGGGGAAAGAUUAUUUCAGCAUUUGCUGACAUCAUUGAAUGGUGUGUGACUGAGGGGAAGGUCUCUAACUCAGCCCAGGUUCAUCUGAGUCAACCAGGGUCAAACAGCUUUCACGGGCAUCUUUGGGUCACUGACCGGGCAAAGCCAGGCCCUUAAAACAAGAGGUUGUUGGCCAGAACCCAUUUUUAAUUCUUUAAUUUGCUUUGUUUUUUUGAGAUACCAUGUCCUACCCAGACCUUUGGAUUCAGCAUGUGUGUCCAGGUGGGGAAUCCAGAAAUCUGUAAAUUAAACCUCCCUCCAGAAGACAAAGCCCCACCAGCUUCCAGCUUCAGGGAGUUGUCGCCAAGGCACACCUGCUGGGUCAUCCCUGGUGAGCCAUGACUCACCACGCCCUGGGCCCUGUGGGUGCCAACUUCCUCCUACCAAGCCAGUCAAACACCCUGGCCCAGAGGAACGCACUGACUGUGCUGACUUCCCCAAAGCCCAAGGGACUGAGGGUGGGUGGCAGGCGGCCCAAGAGUAGGGGCUGAGUCCUCUGACAGCCCCAUCUGUCCUCAGCCGCAGGGCUGGCCCCAAGGAGCCCAGUGCCACUAGCCACCCACCCAGUUAACAAUCUGCAAAGGAGCAAAAGCAACAUUCCCUCUGCGGAAUGUGCCAAAGGUACAUUCUGCUGAAGCAUGGAAAAUCUUGGUGCCUGGGCCCCACCCCAGAGUCCCAUCUAGUUCUUCUGGGGUACCACAUGCCCAGUGGCAGAUUCUAACAUGAAGGAAGGAUGAGAAACACAAAACUAGAGAGCAAAGAGGAGACGGGGGAAACUGAGGCUGGAGGCCAGUGCAGAACCCAGAAGCGAGCCCUCGGACUCUGAGAAGGGAAUCUUAUCCAGCCAUGCCACGACAAGCACAUUUAAAGGCUAACAUCUGAGUCCUCACUUCGCACCAGGCAUGGUGCUAGGCAUCCUCCACACCAUAACCUUGAGGGAGGGGCCCGGGAGGCAGGCCGCCAGUGGGACUGUCACCUACACCCUACUGACCCCAAAGUCCUUCUCUUCACCACCACCCUAGUUCUUGACAGACCUAAGGCCCAGGAAGAGGAAAAAUAGGGAGUUCCUUGUGAAAACCUAGAAAACUUCAAGCCACCUUUUAUGAACUCAUUCAAGAAAUGUCUAUACCUACCCUGUGCUGCAUGCUGAGGUCCAGAGAGCCCAGGUUUUCAAGCUGGCUGUGAAAUCAACACAGUUGGUCACAUACAACAUCCUGUUCAGUGAAACAGCAAGAAGCUAUAAAGUGCAUUUGACAUAAAAAGCUAAGAACUGCUGAGACCUGUUUCAUCAGUUCUGUGUGUUCAUUCACAAAAGGUGUGGCUGGGUAAAAGAUCUUGAUGGGAGAGGUAUUUCUUACCACAGAUCAUAGUCCAGUAUGUCUGAGAAACACUGAGGAUGGGCAAGAGGCGAGCCUUCCUGUGCCCAAUGCAAUUGUGUACGCAAACACAGUUCUAUACAACAUUCACAUUAACCUAAGAGACCCCAAACAGCAAAUAAGAACUUCUUGGUAGUUACAAAUUUCUACAUACACCUUGAAAUCAACAUGGCCAUGGUGAUCUUGAGACUCACCAUGGGGAAAAGAGUUUGGGAGUGAUUAAGCUCCUGCCCACUACACUCAAGGACAGUUUAGCAGGUGAUCCCCUUUUCCCCAGGGAACUUCAGCCCUGGCACCGCCACUCCUGAGGAAGAGGUAUGAAUGGUCUUAGAAUCCUUCCUUAAAGCUCUAAGUUAUAGUGGCACAUACCUUGGUGGGUUUAUAGAGGGCAU
rnacentral:lncRNA from 1 species